GACGAACGCCGGCGGCGUGCUUAACACAUGCAAGUCGAACGAUGAAGCCGGAGCUUGCUCUGGUGAAUUAGUGGCGAACGGGUGAGUAACACGUGAGUAACCUGCCCUUGACUCUGGGAUAACUGCGGGAAACUGUAGCUAAUACCGGAUACGACCCUCGGAGGCAUCUCCUGGGGGUGGAAAGAAUUUCGGUCAAGGAUGGACUCGCGGCCUAUCAGCUAGUUGGUGAGGUAACGGCUCACCAAGGCGACGACGGGUAGCCGGCCUGAGAGGGUGACCGGCCACACUGGGACUGAGACACGGCCCAGACUCCUACGGGAGGCAGCAGUGGGGAAUAUUGCACAAUGGGCGCAAGCCUGAUGCAGCAACGCCGCGUGAGGGAUGACGGCCUUCGGGUUGUAAACCUCUUUUAGUAGGGAAGAAGCGAAAGUGACGGUACCUGCAGAAAAAGCACCGGCUAACUACGUGCCAGCCGCGCCGUAA
rnacentral:rRNA from 1 species